ACUUUUCACACGGUCCAGCCCUUGUCCCAUCUAGCUUUUCCAGUCGACGAACCCGCCGCAAUCCUCAUAUAGGGGGCGGUACCCGGCGCCUCCACCAAAAACCGCCGCGCAUGUGGGCGGCUUUUGCUGGGGGCGAAACAGGAUCGACGAAGGUGUAAAGAUCGAACUUUCGCCCGGCAUUGUACCACCGUUAUCGGGCUAAACUUAUAGUUGCCAACGACAACUAUGCGGAAGCUCGUCUCGCUGCUUAAUGCAGCGCGAACGCUUCAAAUCAAGCCCUAGCGGUUCGCACUGCUAGGCGGGGUCCGGAGGCACCUGGCAACAGAAGCCUCCACU
rnacentral:tmRNA from 1 species